rnacentral:rRNA from 1 species
GAUUUCCUUUGGGGCACACGUACCCUGUGCCAUACCUUAAUGUUGCCUCGGCGGAUCAGCCCGCGCCCCGUAAAACGGGACGGCCCGCCAGAGGACCCAAACUCUAAUGUUUCUUAUUGUAACUUCUGAGUAAAACAAACAAAUAAAUCAAAACUUUCAACAACGGAUCUCUUGGUUCUGGCAUCGAUGAAGAACGCAGCAAAAUGCGAUAAGUAAUGUGAAUUGCAGAAUUCAGUGAAUCAUCGAAUCUUUGAACGCACAUUGCGCCCGCUGGUAUUCCGGCGGGCAUGCCUGUUCGAGCGUCAUUUCAACCCUCAAGCCCCCGGGUUUGGUGUUGGGGAUCGGCUCUGCCCUUCUGGGCGGUGCCGCCCCCGAAAUACAUUGGCGGUCUCGCUGCAGCCUCCAUUGCGUAGUAGCUAACACCUCGCAACUGGAACGCGGCGCGGCCAUGCCGUAAAACCCCAACUUCUGAAUGUUGACCUCGGAUCAGGUAGGAAUACCCGCUGAACUUAAGCAUAUCAAUAAGCCGGAGGAA